GUGCCAGGCAGAGCUGGAUAACCUGCACUCAAGCACCCCCCUGACCCAUUGCUGCCCCCCCCAGAUGAAGUUGCAGCCCAUCAGCUCCACAUUGGGGGAGAAGCCACUCAUGCAUCGAGAGGCUGCCUGGCACAGUGUCCCUCCUGGGGGCCCUGCCCCCCCAGAGAACAGUCAGGGGAUCCCAUCCCCUGGGGAGGAACAUAGAGAGGAGAAUGCAGGGCUGGGGCAUGGCCCCCCUGGCAUGGAGACCUGGGAGUUGAGGGGGGGACUGCAGUCAGUGCAGCGGGAGUUGGCCCAGUGCACAGAGCAACGGGACCAGGCAGUCACUAAGGUGCGUGCCCUGGAACGGCGGGUGCAGCAGCUGUUGGAGGAGCUGAGGGGCCAGAGGCAGAGAGCAGGGGCCAUGCAGCGAUGCCUGGAGCAGCAGGAGAAGGAGCACCGGCAGGAGCUGGCGGAGCUGGAGUGGCACCAUCGGGAAGCGCUGGAGCAGCAGGGUACCUGGUUGGACAUUCCUGUGCCCCCCCACCACCCACCAAACAAGCAGGGCCUGGGGGGAUCAGAGCAGGAGCGGCGCCACCCAGGCUGUGGCCAGCGCAGUCUCAGCAGCUUCCGGCAGGAACGGGCACCCGAGAAACGAGGGGCAGCUGGGAAGGUCAGAGGUUCCUCACCACAGGGUCCCCGAGUUGUGGGCAGGCUGGUGCCCAGUGGGGAGCGGGGCCAGGAGCCGGAGUCCCCCACAGAGCUGCAGGCCCUGAGGGCUGAGGUUUUGGGGCUGCGCCGGCGCCUGGCUGCCUUUGAGAGCCUGCGCAAGGGGCUGCUGGAAACCUGCUGGCAGCUGCGUCAAGGCACCCGGGACCUGACUGGGGAGCGCCGGGCACUGGCUGAGAUGCCACUGGCUCAUGAUGCUGCCAUUCAGCACAAGGAAGAGGCGGAGGAGCUGCAGGGAGCACCAGGGCCCGGCCUGGCCAAAGGGAAUGGGGGGGAACUGCAGGCCCUGGCUGUAGAGUCAGAGGCUCAGGUCUGGGGGGCACCAGGGCCUGGCCUGGCUGAGGGGGAUGCUCAGGAGGUGGGGGAGCUGCAGGUGCUGCGGGGGGAGUUGAGGGCCCUGGCCCUGGGCAAGGCUGAGGCAGAGGCUCAGGCUGCCCAGGCCCAGGAGCGGCUGCGGCGGCUCCAGGAGACGCUGGGGUUGCAGACAGAGCGGCUGGCACUGGCCUGUGAGGCUCAGAGCCAGCAUGUGGCAGAGCUGCUGACCGAGGGGCACGAGCGGGAGCAAGAGCUGGAGCGCCUGGGCCAGGCGCUGCGGGAGGCGGGACGGGUCCGUGAGCUACUGGAGGCUGAGGUGGGGCGGCUGCAGGUGCUGCUGGGUGUGGACACACCUCCCACUGGUUCCCCUGAGCCGCCCCCCAAUGCCCCAAAGCCCGGCCCUGCUGAGCCGCCCCCCACAGCCCCAGAGCCCGGCCCCGCCGAGCCGCCCCCCACAGCCCCAGAGCCCGGCCCCGCCGAGCCGCCCCCCACAGCCCCAGAGCCCGGCCCCGCCGAGCUGCCCCCCACAGCCCCAGAGCCCGGCCCCGCCGAGCUGCCCCCCACAGUCCCAGAGCCCGGCCCCGCUGAGCCGCCCACCACAGUCCCAGAGCCCGGCCCCGCUGAGCCACCCACCACAGUCCCAGAGCCUAGCCUGCCUGAGCUGCCCCCCACAACCCCAGAGCCCAGCCCCACCGAGCCGCCCCCCGCAGCCCCAGAGACCGACCCCACUGAGCUGCCCUCCACAGUCCCAGAGCCCGGCUCCACCGAGCCGCCCCCCACAGCCCCAGAGCCUGGCCCCCCCAGUUUGGCCUCUCCCACCCCUGCUGAGCUGCCCAUUCCCCUGGAGUUGCCACUCAGUGCCCUGGAGUUGGCUGUGGUUAGCAGGAUGUGGCUGGCGAGGAAGCAGGCGUGGCACAGUGCGCGGGCACCGCUGCAGAAUAUCCUGUGGGAGCUACAGAAGCUGGCAGGCCAGGCUGGAUUGCAGGAGCAGCUGGAGGAGGCGCUUUCCCAUCUGCUGCAGGAGAAUCAGGCCCUGCGGGCUGAGCUGGCACUGUGGCAAUCCCACACUCGAGAGGAAUGUACCACACCUGCCACUGGAGACAGACAACACCAGGGGACCUCAGCCACCCCCGCUCCAGUGCCCCUAGGGGAUAGAAGCCAGGGGGACCUUACUUAUGUUCUCCAGACUGCCUGGCUGGGGGUGCGGGAUGCCCAGACCCAGACAGAGGGGCCAGCACGGGGCAGGCGCCACAGGGAGCUCAUCUCGGCGGCCUUCGACCACACUCAGUAUGAGCCCUAUGGGCUGCCUGAGGUCGUCAUGAAAGGUUUUGCCGACAUCCCCUCCGGCCCCUCCUGCCCCUAUGUCCUUCGGAGGGGGCUCCUGGGCAGUACCCCCUUGGCCCAGCUGGCACCCAAAGCUGAGCCAGAGGAGGAUCCCGCUGAACCUGAUAUGGGCACCAGCAUCUGAGAGCAUCUACGCUGCUGGCCUGGAUGGCAGAAAUGUUCCCCCCCACCCCAGCUACAAAGAUCCCUGAUGUUGCCUGGAGCUCCCCAGCUGCUAUGUGGCACUUUAUGGCUGAGAAGGGAAGUCCUUCUCCCCUUCCCUCCACAGAUGGACAUGUGUAACCCUCUGGGAUUUAUUUUACAACCUGGCUUCCUUAAGGUGCUAAAAAUUGUGGGUGCUACAGCUCAGUGGGCUGACAGCUGCUCAAUGCCCCACUCCCUGCACACAAGGAAUGGGGGGGCUCAAUUAAUGGGGUUAAUUGGAAUCUCUGCCCCCCACACACACACAGACACACAGCUUGAAGGGAAUUAAGCCCUCUAUUCAUGGCUCAGGGAAUCAAAGGGCGGGUUGUGUCCACCCACCCAAACUUUGGAGGAGCUGCUAUGUUGAGUCACCCCCCCCCCGAGAGGGGCUCAGCAGAAGUUCCUCAAAGAGAGGGGGUGCAGCACAGGGAGUCUUUCCCCCCACACACCCGCCCCAGCUCUGGGGUUUAUAUGUAACUCUGUCUCCCCCAGCCCCAAUAAAGUUCCUUGCCUCAGCUUCAGGCAGGUCCUGCCUGCUUCUUUCCAGCUUGGGGGUCUGGCAGCUGCAUUGCUCCCAAGCUAGUCUGGGCUGCAGACACC
rnacentral:lncRNA from 1 species